rnacentral:rRNA from 1 species
UACGGAAGGGGCAAGCGUUGUUCGGAAUCAUUGGGCGUAAAGGGCGUGUAGGUGGUUCUGUAUGUCUACCGUGAAAGCGUACGGCUCAACCGUAUUUAGUCGGUAGAAACUGCAGGACUUGAGGCUGGGAGGGGCUGGUGGAAUUCCCCGUGUAGCGGUGAAAUGCGUAGAGAUGGGGGAGAACACUCGUGGCGAAGGCAGCCUUCUGGGCCAACACUGACGCUCAUGCACGAAAGCGUGGGGAGCAAACAGG